rnacentral:lncRNA from 1 species
UAGAGUCCGACUACUAUACUCUUAUGAGUACGAUCGCCUUCGUACUCAUAAGUUGUUUUCGACGAUAGAGAUUCUGAAUUGACGAUCCAUACCGUUAAACAUUAUCUAGAAUAUUUAAAACUUUUAGAAAUCAAAUUUUAUAAUUUUUCGAUAUCAUUUACCUAACGAUCAAAAGCUCACAAAAUUGACAAUUUUUAACGGCCGGUAUAAGAUAUUUGCUAGUUUAACGGUGAAAAAGAAUCGGAAUUGGUUGAAUUUUUGAUAGAAAAUUCUAUUCACUAUCUAAAUAAAGAUCAAUAACUCCGAUCUUAAAUUGAAGGAUCCGAUCAUUCAUUUUUAUGAUGUCAUUCGAUUUUAACAGUUCAUUUAUACUCACUUGAUGGACUUUAUAAUAAUUUUGAAAAAUUACGAAAUUUAGUUUAUAGAAUACUCUCAAAAGCACCAAGAGGUUGGUGCUUUUGAGUUUUUAACCCUUGGAUGGAGAAAUGUAAGGUUGGGAUGAUGGUGGUAGGUGGUGGUAGUUGGUGGUAGGUGGAAAGGUAUUUGAUCCAAGUGCUAUUAGUAAUCAAAGAGUAGAUCCAAGGGCUAGAAACCUAGCAGUAAAAAAGGGGUGAUGCUUCUAAAAGUAUUCUAGCUCAAUUUAUAUAUAUAUAUAUAUAUAUAUAUAUAUAUAUAUAU